CUGUUUAUUGGCACACAAAGAACCUUCUUUUAUGCAGGUUUCCCUGAGAUAGGACCACCCACAGGGUUUUACACAACAACCAAUCAUACACGUACAUUACAGAAACACUCCCAGCAAUUACACACAAAAAUCCUCCCCCUCUGCCUGUGAUCUAAUUAUGGUACACAAUGGGUUAACAUAAUUAAACACAGGCAGUAAAAAUACAGUUUUUAUAAAUAUCCUGUAACUUUAAAACCACACAUCCAAUCUUCAUAAAUGACAUAUUUAGAAUCAGCAACCUUCAAAUAGAAACAUAACCAAAAAUAAGCCAAAUCCAUCCAGGGAUUAAAAAGUUAGCUGGAGGUCCCUUUAUGACCGACCGCAAGCACAUUUUUCUGCCCAAAACAGUUCCAUAGAUUUGGGACUUAGUCUCUGCCGCAGAAAGUUCAGUAUGGGAGAAGGUGGGGCUCAACGGUGUUCGCGGAAAUGUGUAGCCGAUUUUAGUUCGUUGAAUUUGGCUACACAUACCGCUGACCUCGUUAGAAUGAACAAAGAUGGCCGCCGCCACGUGUUUGGCAAACGAACAAAGGCCACCCAGCAUUGUCAAUUAAGCUGCGGUUAACCGCAGCUUCUGGGAGGUAAAUUGCAGACACACUCCAAUACAGGUGGUCUACCUGUGUGGUACUUGGUUCAGUAAGCCCCAUUUACUGAACCAAAUGGGAAAUAGCCAGGCACAAAGGGUUUUAACCAGGUCUGGGGACACUGGGGACACCGUCCAAAAGGGGCAGUGUCCCAAACAAGUCUGGGGACACCGUCUUAAAGGGGCAGUGUCCCCAUUUUCCCUAUGCCCCAAAAAAGUGCUUAAAGGGCCAGCACCAGUCCCAUAACAAGUGCAUAAGCCCCAAUAUGCCCACAGACUGUCUUAAAGGGCCAUACACACCCAAUAAAAAGUCCAUAAGUUUUCACAAUCUCCCAGGGGCCAUAGUCAUGCAGAAGGAGGCUGGCAAAUAGGCUUCUCCACAACCCAGGGAAGCGGGGCAAUUUGUCAUUUAAAGAGCCAGUUACGAAUGACAGUAACACUGCUGUAAGUUACAAGUGGCACUGGUAGGUUAUUAAAGGAACAAUCGAGGCACAAUAACCACUGCAGCUCUCUGUAGUGGUUAUGGUUCCAUAGCACCCUCCCAGAGUAAGUAGCCAAACUGUUUAAGAACGGUUUGACAACUUACCUGUGGUCUGCCAGAUUAGGGGGCUGUAGUAGGGGAUAUGGCCCGUAUUAUGGAAUAGGGGCAGUAGUGUGUGUGGGAUGUAGUGGCUUUGUGAAAGGUGCAG